rnacentral:rRNA from 1 species
AUGAACGCUAGCUACAGGCUUAACACAUGCAAGUCGAGGGGCAGCGGGAUUGAAGCUUGCUUCAAUUGCCGGCGACCGGCGCACGGGUGAGUAACGCGUAUCCAACCUUCCGCUUACUCGGGGAUAGCCUUUCGAAAGAAAGAUUAAUACCCGAUGGUAUCUUAAGCACGCAUGAGAUUAAGAUUAAAGAUUUAUCGGUAAGCGAUAGGGAUGCGUUCCAUUAGGCAGUUGGCGGGGUAACGGCCCACCAAACCUACGAUGGAUAGGGGUUCUGAGAGGAAGGUCCCCCACAUUGGAACUGAGACACGGUCCAAACUCCUACGGGAGGCAGCAGUGAGGAAUAUUGGUCAAUGGGCGAGAGCCUGAACCAGCCAAGUAGCGUGAAGGAUGACGGCCCUACGGGUUGUAAACUUCUUUUGUGCGGGAAUAAAGGAGCCUACGUGUAGGCUUUUGCAUGUACCGUAACGAAUAAGCAUCGGCUAACUCCGUGCCAGCAGCCGCGGUAAUACGGAGGAUGCGAGCGUUAUCCGGAUUUAUUGGGUUUAAAGGGAGCGUAGACGGGUUUUUAAGUCAGCUGUGAAAGUUUGGGGCUCAACCUUAAAAUUGCAGUUGAAACUGGAGACCUUGAGUACGGUUGAGGCAGGCGGAAUUCGUGGUGUAGCGGUGAAAUGCUUAGAUAUCACGAAGAACCCCGAUUGCGAAGGCAGCCUGCUAAGCCGCCACUGACGUUGAGGCUCGAAAGUGCGGGUAUCAAACAGGAUUAGAUACCCUGGUAGUCCGCACGGUAAACGAUGGAUACUCGCUGUUGGCGAUAGACGGUCAGCGGCCAAGCGAAAGCGUUAAGUAUCCCACCUGGGGAGUACGCCGGCAACGGUGAAACUCAAAGGAAUUGACGGGGGCCCGCACAAGCGGUGGAGCAUGUGGUUUAAUUCGAAGCAACGCGAAGAACCUUACCAGGUCUUGACAUCCUCUGACAAUCCUAGAGAUAGGACGUCCCCUUCGGGGGCAGAGUGACAGGUGGUGCAUGGUUGUCGUCAGCUCGUGCCGUGAGGUGUCGGCUUAAGUGCCAUAACGAGCGCAACCCUUGCUGCCAGUUACUAACAGGUCAUGCUGAGGACUCUGGCAGGACUGCCAUCGUAAGAUGCGAGGAAGGUGGGGAUGACGUCAAAUCAGCACGGCCCUUACGUCCGGGGCUACACACGUGUUACAAUGGGGAGUACAGAGGGCAGCUACCGGGCGACCGGAUGCGAAUCCCGAAAGCUCCUCUCAGUUCGGACUGGAGUCUGCAACCCGACUCCACGAAGCUGGAUUCGCUAGUAAUCGCGCAUCAGCCACGGCGCGGUGAAUACGUUCCCGGGCCUUGUACACACCGCCCGUCAAGCCAUGAAAGCCGGGGGUACCUGAAGUACGUAACCGCGAGGAUCGUCCUAGGGUAAAACCGGUAAUUGGGGCU